rnacentral:rRNA from 1 species
AUCACUCUAAAACAUCUUAUAAGUUAUCGUAUAAUCUCUUACGUGGUCGCCCACUGAAGCCAAGCAGGGCUGAGCCUGGUCAGUACCUGGAUGGGAGACCACAUGGGAAAGCUAGGUU